rnacentral:rRNA from 1 species
UGGGGAAUAUUGCACAAUGGGCGCAAGCCUGAUGCAGCCAUGCCGCGUGUGUGAAGAAGGCCUUCGGGUUGUAAAGCACUUUCAGCGGGGAGGAAGGGAGUAAAGUUAAUACCUUUGCUCAUUGACGUUACCCGCAGAAGAAGCACCGGCUAACUCCGUGCCAGCAGCCGCGGUAAUACGGAGGGUGCAAGCGUUAAUCGGAAUUACUGGGCGUAAAGCGCACGCAGGCGGUUUGUUAAGUCAGAUGUGAAAUCCUCGGGCUCAACCUGGGAACUGCAUCUGAUACUGGCAAGCUUGAGUCUCGUAGAGGGGGGUAGAAUUCCAGGUGUAGCGGUGAAAUGCGUAGAGAUCUGGAGGAAUACCGGUGGCGAAGGCGGCCCCCUGGACGAAGACUGACGCUCAGGUGCGAAAGCGUGGGGAGCAAACAGG